CCCAAGCUGAGCCCAAAACACAGAGUGGCCUUUCCACAUACCAUACUACCAGUACUAAAAUUAACAAAAAGCCAAAACUCACCAGAAAUCUGAGACUCCGCGAGAGAGAAGAAGAAGAAGAUGAUAUACAGGAAAUGGAGUCUGCUGACUGGGCCCGUAGCUGUAUUGGGAGGCAUAGUCGGCACGGUCGUCGUCGCCCACUUCGUCUUCGUCGGUAACGAUCGAUUUCUUAAGACAGAUCCAAGGAAGGCAGAAGCCGCCACUUCAAGAAAAUAAGAUGAGAAGGAUGAAGAGUUGCAUUCUAAUGUGACUUUUUUUUUAUCUGCUGAAUAUGUUGAACAAAAUUGUGGUGGUGUUAAGAGUCUCAGACAUGACUUGUUAGUUAAUAAUCCAGAAUUGCAAUUUGGGUUCUGAUUUAAGGUUGUGAAGUCAGUUUCAUGAAUAUGGAUUCUGUGUUACAAUGACAUGGCUUGAUUUCAAGCUAAUAAAUGACCAAAUUCCAUUGCUUUUGUUAUA